AGCUUCUUCUUCUCUUCCUGGGCAGUGACAGGCAUUCGAGCGGUUCGUGUGUUGAUAUUGAAGUGGUAAGCUUCCAUCCUUCCAAAGGCUCACAUUUCUUAGUCUCUUUAUCUAUGUCAUAGACUUGUUUUAGAUUUGCUAUUCGGCUAUUGUCGGGGGCUUGUCCCGACAUAUUAUAGACGUCAGAUUUGUAGAGGCUUUGUGGAUAACUAUGGACUUAGG
rnacentral:lncRNA from 1 species